GAUGAACGCUAGCGGCAGGCCUAACACAUGCAAGUCGAGGGAGGAGCUUUCGGGCUUCGACCGGCGUACGGGUGCGUACCGCGUAUACAAUCUGCCUUUCACAUAGGGAUAGCCCGAAGAAAUUUGGAUUAAUACCUAAUGGUAUAUAGAGGUGGCAUCACCUUUAUAUUAAAGCUGAGGCGGUGAAAGAUGAGUAUGCGUUCUAUUAGCUAGUUGGAGAGGUAACGGCUCCCCAAGGCGACGAUAGAUAGGGGUUCUGAGAGGGAUAUCCCCCACACUGGUACUGAGAUACGGACCAGACUCCUACGGGAGGCAGCAGUGAGGAAUAUUGGACAAUGGUCGGAAGACUGAUCCAGCCAUGCCGCGUGCAGGAAGACGGCCUUAUGGGUUGUAAACUGCUUUUGCAGGGGAAGAAUAAGGACUACGCGUAGUUUGAUGACGGUACUCUGCGAAUAAGCAUCGGCUAACUCCGUG
rnacentral:rRNA from 1 species